CAAAUCUCGAUCGACACCAGAAGCCCCACCCAGGGCCCCGAGCAGUUCCGUGGGUAGCACAGGAGUCUUCCCUCAGGGGCCGUACGGGCGCUGCCGGGCUCCUCCAUCCCCCCGGCAGCAGCGCUGAGGGCACCCGCAGGGGUGACGCAGCCUGAGGGCAGCGCAGCUCCCCGCCCAUCCCUGCACACAGCAGGCUGCCACAGCGCGCCUUGCAGCAGCGCUGCUCACCGCUCUCCUGUGUGCCCGGUGCGAAGCGUCCCUGAAGCGAGCAAAGCAGAAAAAAGGACUAAUCCCAUUGUCCUCACUAGAUUCCAUUUGCCACUGGAAGGGAACGGCUGGCUUUGUGUCAGGGAAGUGCUGGUUCAAAUGAGCCAGGAGCAAACCAGCUUCUGUGAUUCUGGAAGUCAAGUCAUAGGCAAGGGAUGCUGGUGGAUAGAGUAACAUUCAGUCUGUAUGAAGGCUAACCUGCCUUCAGUUUGGCUUAGAGGGCAAAAGCUUUGCUUCAGAUCAAAGAUCUUUUAAUUCCUAAAAACUAGAGCUGGCAAAAGCGCAAAUAUCUUUUUACAGUCACAAAUGUUGUAAAAGCUGUGGAGUGCUUUAAAUGUUAACUCUACCCAAAAAUACAGUAUUGUAAAAGCAAAAUCAUCUGAAACAAUAACUCUUGAAAAUGUUCUGUGACUGUUGCAUAUGUUCAUUCUACAAAAAUACAAAAGCAAACUGGUUGCAAAACGUAAAAUAUUAUUCUGCUGAAAAGUGACUCUCAUAAACGUGGCCCAGAAACACUUACAGUCUAUUGCUUCAUAAUAAAAUUAAUUUCCUAAUAACUCUAAGAUUUCCAUCUUACCAUUGCUGCUGAUAAUGAAAUUGGGAACUUUCCAUUUUGUUCAUUACUAUUAGAAAUUCCACAAGCCAAAUCAAAGUAAAAUGGCAGCUCAUUCUGCAUCCCAGUAUUUUCUGAGUAUAUUCUCCUUACUUCAUUUGGGUUGUUUUUUGUAGCAGCACUGCAGUACCUAGGAGGCUGUCUGCCAUCAGCACUUCUGUGGUAAUGACCAUUCUACAAAAUGGACACCUACUCCUGCACUGCAAAGUCAAACUUGUGCACAUACAUUUGCUGUUGAGAUGUCUGUGUAGGCAUCACCUCAAUCUGGAAACAAUCAUGUAGUAUUUGUCCCAUGGCUACUUUCAGGUUAACACAUCUACAGAUAGAAGAUUUUUUCAUCCUGCCUGGUACCAGUACUUAUCUUUUAGUUUCCAUGGUUUCAUUAUUGACUCUCAGUAAAUAGAAAACAUACGGAGCUGGCAUACUCUACAGAUACACCUGUUAAGCUCUUGUAAUACGACCUUCUGUAGCAUAAUCCCUGUUACAGCAACCUCUCCAGAAAGCUCUGGUAGGGAAAACUGAUCUCACAGAGCUUUCUUUGUGUCCCAACAGUAGGAUUUUCCACUGUUUUACAUUAGGUAUAAAUAUCUAUACCUGAAGAGCAUACAAUAAGUAUACAGUGCUACUAAACAAUUUUCUUUUUGUUGGAGACAGGCCAUUAAAUUUCAAAUAUCCUGGGCAAAGUUCUCUUUUCUUAAUAUUUGUGGUUGUAGAGAAAUUUGUCAUAAACUUCCCUGUAAGCACAUGGUUUAUUUAGGCACUACUUCAGCCUUCUUUUUGUUGGUGCCUGUUUAUGGAAUUCAUCUUCAAACAGAAAAUUCAGACCACGGAGUCUAUUGAAAGGACUGUUCACACUUCUUCCUAACCUUGUUCUAUCUGUAUGCACUUCAUGACAUACUAAACUCCAACCACUUUUCUUCUCAAGAUCAAAGACUGUCAAAUUUGUCUCUGCAUAUAUCUGACACCAUUUUGUAUACAUAUGUGAAAUAAGUGAUCGAACCAAAACGAAUGAGUCUAGAACACAGUGUAUUGCUUUAGAGAACUUGAGUCAGACUCAUUUCAGAGUGAGUCACUUGCAUUUAUCAUCAAACAAAACCACAGUGGGGUCAAAGUCUGCUGAGGAUUUUGCAGUUACACUGAGGAAAGUGAGAAGUGGCUGGAACAUUAUAGAAAAGCAUAUAUUAAUAAUCCAUUCAAAUAUGAAAACUGAAUUUCUGUUCCACUCU
ensembl:lncRNA